rnacentral:rRNA from 1 species
GACGAACCGUGCGAACGUUAUUCGGAAUCACUGGGCUUAAAGGGCGCGUAGGCGGGCCGUCAAGUCAGGGGUGAAAGCCCCCAGCUCAACUGGGGAAGUGCCUCUGAUACUGACGGCCUCGAGGGAGAUAGGGGCGUGCGGAACUUCCGGUGGAGCGGUGAAAUGCGUAGAUAUCGGAAGGAACACCGGUGGCGAAAGCGGCGCGCUGGAUCUCUUCUGACGCUGAGGCGCGAAAGCCAGGGGAGCGAACGGG